UACAGAGGGUGCAAGCGUUGUUCGGAAUUAUUGGGCGUAAAGGGCGCGUAGGCGGUGCUGUAAGUCUGUGGUGAAAUCUCUGGGCUCAACUCAGAGUCUGCCAUAGAAACUGCAGUGCUGGAGUGUGGGAGAGGUGAGUGGAAUUCCCGGUGUAGAGGUGAAAUUCGUAGAUAUUCGCAAGAACACCAGUGGCGAAGGCGGCUCACUGGCCCGAUACUGACGCUGAAGCACGAAAGCGUGGGGAGCAAACAGG
rnacentral:rRNA from 1 species